AGCAAACUUUCUCAGGAUAUUAAUGCUGUAUUUGGUUCUGUUUAGAUGCUUGUACGCUUUAGAGAAGCUCUACGAGAAAGGAGAAUUCCGUUUUUUUGGGAAAGAGAAAUGAAUUUGAUUGGUCACCUGAAAGAAGCUUAUAUCCAAAAUAGUUGUGACAGACUUAACAAUUUUAAUCAAGCAAAUAGACAAACAUGUUGAUGAUAAAAAUGCGUAUGAACUAGAAGUCUAUAUUUGUAAGGUAUUGAACCAAAACAUCCCAGCUUCUUGUGUUGCCUCAACAUCAAACAUUCGGAAGGUUGCAAAGAGGUAAAAGACUGAACUGAAUCAAAAAGUCUUGUUAUUUCAAAACAAUAUCAGUAUUUUAACCUAUUAUUCUACUUGUUUUAAUUUUAAUUAAUUGGAAUUAAUUUAUAGGUUUUGUAGGCUAUGUUGAAUGCUUCAUUAAUAAUAUAACUUAUUACACCUGCAUUUGUCAACAGUGCUGUAAAUGCAUGUAUUAUUAACAAAUUUGACACUUAUUGACAAUAAUUAUUGAUAAUUGUGCAAUGUAUUAAUAGUGCAUGUAUAAAACUUUUCAAGAUAUAAUUCUUUUAACUUUUGUUUAUUAAUAAUUGUUUUUAAUUUGUUUUCAGAGAAUAAUUAUUUGUUAUUUAAUUUUGAUGGUACAUAGUAAUUAAACUAAUUAAUUACAGUAUUUACUAUUUUCAUCCAUAAAUUGUAAAAGAAAUACUGACUUAAAUUUUCUAUCAUGCAUAUAAUUCUUGUAUACUUUUAAUCACAGCUAAUUAAACUGAAAAGGAUAUCUUUGUUAAGGCUCUUCAUACAUAGUGAUAUUUGUGACAACAAAUGUGAAAAUAAUUAUGCUCGUCUUUAAAUGUUUAUGAUUACAAUGUAAUUGCCAAACAUUAAGUUCCUCAACUCACACAUGAGAAGAAAAAUAUGCUUGUUUUUAAAUAACUUGUAAAAUAACUGUCUUAUUGGAAGUUAAUUAUAUUUGUGCAUACAUCAAAUUGUGCUACUUACAAAUGCGCAUUAUGCUUGUUCGUUUGUAUAUCUUUAAAUAAUUUUUUUGUUGGAAGUUUAUCAAACAAACUGUUAAACAAAUGUUUCAACUUACAAGUUGUGAAAAAUGUUUUAAAUAUUUAAAAAAUAUUACUGUCCUACUGGAAGUUUACUGUAAAAACUAAAAUGUUUUAAAUGUCAUAGUGUACCCAAGUAUACACAAGUGGUUAUUGUGACACUUUACUUUCAUUGUGAUUGGCCAUUAUUUAAACUCACUGCUGAUAAAGAGUCCUUACCAAGAGAACAACUUUGCCACAUUAAGGUUCAAUAGUCUCUAUACAGAAUCAGAAUCAAUUUAUUGUCACCCCACUUACAAUACAUUGACAGUCUUAAAUGUCUAAGGAUCUCACACAUAGGCUACAUAAUGUACACCUAAAUUAGAAUUACAUACUUAACACUCUAGUGAAAAGUAAAAGACAAUAGUUUUGUUACUAAAUCCAGAAAACAAUUUCCCCGGAUGUUAAAGUCUAAGUGAGAGUGCUGAGUCUAAGUUAUUAGUUGGUGUACUAUUUUAAAUGUAUGGGACUUUUAGGACCCAAAGGUUGAAUAUCUUUCUUUGUAUGUUGAAAUAUCUGUGUUUUCUCAAUACGGUCAGUUAGGUGAUGAUGUCUGGCUUCGGUUCCUUCUCCAGUGUUUGACUUAUCUUCUCUGUGUUGACAAUUGUUCUGACGUUUCUUACUUAAUAUUCAAUGGUAAAUACAUCUCUGAAGCAUCUAUUGAAAUAUUCAAUUCAAUUCAAAACAGCUUUAUUCUCCUGGCAUAUACACAUAUAUACAAGAAUAGUGUCAAGAUUUAAUUCAUAUACUUACCAAAUUAGAAAAAAAAAACAAGAAUAAUAUAACAGAAAAUACAAGAUUUAUCAACAUGAAAUAGAAAAGGUUUAAAAUACAAUUAUUACAGUUGUUAAAAAGGUUACAAUUAAAACAGAUAACAUUAACAUUAAAACGGUUAAAGUAAAAAAAAAUAAAACAGCUUUCGGCAUAAACUAUUAAUUAUAGAGUACUCCACCUCCAGAAUCACCACAGGAAUUCAUUAAAGGAAUAUAUAGCCUUGUUGAUGAGAAACUUUUUAAAUUUUAUUUUAAAUUUAUUGAAUGUAGCCUCUGACUUAAUUUCAAUAGGAAGAUUCUUGUAAAAUUUUGAUCCAAUAUACUUUGGUCUCUUUUUAAAAAUUUGUAAAGUAUGGGGGCUUAUGGCUACAUUGUUACGAUUUCUUGUGAAAUGGUUGUGAUUAUCUCCUACCAAUUCCAGUUCCUGAAGUUUGCUUUAAGUGACAAAAUAGUUUCAAAAAUAUACAUCCCAUAGAAGUCAUAUUUUUUUCUUCUUUAAAGUAUUCCAUAACAGAUGUUCUAGUAUGAAGAUUAAAAAUUAUUCUAAUUGCUUUUUUUCUGCAUUUAUAGAAUAGAAUUUAGAUUUUUUGUAGAAGUAGCACCGUAAAGUGAGAUUCCAAAAGAUAUUAUUGAGUAAAUAUAUGAAAAAUAAAUAACCUUUAAUGUUUCUUUUUCGCACAGGUUUCUCAGUGUAAUUAAUGCAUAUAAACCUGAUGAAAUUUUGGAAAGUAAUUUUUACAAUACACAAGGUAGUAUCUGGCAUUAUCAUCUUCUGCAUCACUUAGUUCAAUUUGGGUGAAGGAACACUUUUGAUAGCAUUAAUUCUUUCCUUUCUGAUCACAAGGAGCAUUUUCCAGGGUCUUCAAUCAUAUGGUGUUCUCUCAACUGUUUUUGACUUGCCUGCUGUUCAUUGGCAUAAUGGUAUAACAUGUACAGACAUAUUCAAUACUUCAAAACAGUAAUAGACACAGCAGGAAGAAUAAAGGAGCCUCUCACUGCUGUUUUCCUGGUGGUUUUUAUUACCUAUUUCUUUUAAUUGGAUCUUGACCAUUUACUUCUUGGCUCAGAGACAGCUCUUUAACUUCGCUUUGAGCCUCCAUCAGUCUUAUCUUCAGUUCUUUCUUUUUAUACUCUAGUCUUACUACUGGUUUUCUAUAAAGAUUCAAAAAAUCUUAAUACAAUUAAUCCUUGUGGGAUUAACAGUGAUUUUUAAUAUAGCCUAUGCAUACAAUAUUUUUGACAUGUCAUAUGAUUAUGCCUUGUGAGUUACUCUUCAAAUCAGAUCGCCUUUAUUGGAAUAGUUCACUCAGGUAAAUUAUCAUUCUCUUUGUGGCUCAAUGAGUUACCUUCAUGUUUGGAGGGUUUCCAUGUAGAAAUGUUCUUGUCAAAUCUACUUGCAGGAUGUUCACAACCCUCCAGUUGUAAGGGGUAACAACUGAAAUGAGCCGUCCAUAUUGGGAUCCUGUUCGUAGGUAAACUUAUCAUCUCCAGUAGUUAUCAGGGGUCUCCACUGAAAUGAGCCAAUUACGUUGAAGUCUUUCCAUCAGUAAAUCUUUUCAUCUCCAGAGUUGAAAGGGAUCUCCACUGAGGUGAGCUACGAUAGAGUCCUGUUCUCAAUAAAUUCAAUAUCUCAAUUGAGAUGAAUCAUUGGGGAAUUGUUCUUCAAUAAGUUGUCAUCUCUAGUUAUGAUAUGUCACAAUAGAGAUGAGCCAUGCAUGUUGGUGUCGUAUUUAUGAGUAAAUGUAUCUUCAUUAGUUGUGACGGGUCUCCGCUGAUGUGAGCCAGCUAGUUGGGUUCCUGUUUGUCCUUAAAUUUGUCAACUCCAGUCAUGGGGGGUCUCCAUUGAGGUGAGUCAGUUGUGAGAAGUUUUCACAGAGGUGAGCCAUCUAGGGUUGAGGUCUUUUUAUCAGUAAUUUUAUCAUCUUCAGUUGGAAAUUUUGUCUUUGACUUUCAAAAUGUGUAUUGUUUUAGUAACUGAUACAGGGUUAUAUGAAGUAUUAUAUGUUAAUAAUUAAGUGUAAUUAGAUAAUAUAUGACCUGUUUUUUUAGUUAGUUGUCUUUGUAUUUCAAAGAAUUACACUAAAUAGUAUUAUGAUUAAGAAUAUUGCUGAAAAUGUUAACUAUAAAAUAAUAUUGUAGUAAAUGACACCAAAGGGAUCAUUAUCUUAAUCAUUUGUUCCAAAAUACAAUUGUAUAGAUAAAAAUACAAAAAGGGAGCUAACAUUUCAACAACAUUUACAGAACUGUGUUAUCAAAAAUGGGAUGUAGAAUCUGAAAAUGCUUAGUUAGCCUACAGAUGUGUGAAUAAAAUUGUUAACAUUUUAUAAUGUAAAUUGAAGUUAUUAUUUAAAAAGUAUGCAUGCUGAUAUAACAGAAAAAAUAUAACAUUUGUGUUGGUGUAUUUUAACUUUUGGUUUGACUCCAGUAGUGUUGUAAAAACAAUCUACUCGUGUGCACCCAUUCAGCACAUUACAAAAACAUUUUAAACCUAAAUUAUCCUCAUUUAUUUAUUUUUAAUGUAAGAGUACACUGUUUAUUUAUCCAAAGUUUCACGCAAAAGUUUUUUUUCUUAUAUAUAAUGGUGGAGAGUUAUCCUCCACAUUUUUAACCUCAAGUGACUCCCAAAAACGUUGAAUACCACUAAUGAUUGGUAAUAUUAAAAAGACCUCUUACUGAAAAAUGAGCAAUCAUCUUUUUUUUAUCUCAAUCAAAUAACCAUGUAACUUAACCCCUGUAAUUUAAUUUCUGAUUCUCAUUACAUUUUUGUGUAAGUAUUUGUGAAUUAUUGCUGAAGUAUAUCAUUAUUGCCCUCAUACCCCCUCAAACUUAACUAACAGAUUUGUCCUUAACUGGCGUGAUUUAAUCUACCCUCGACUGACUGUGCUUCUGCACUAACUGUAACAUGCAGUACAAUAGUCAAUCCUCACGUUAAAAUCAUGUAUGAAGUGUUCAUAUCAAAUAACCAGCAUGUUACAUAAUAAUAAUAAUAAUGGAAGAACAUUUAGUUAAAUAACAACAGAUUUUGUUCUCCUGACUUUUUUGUAUUACAACAUGUUAACGAUUGUUUAAUGCACAGUGUUAUAUGUAAUUUCCAUUUAUUACUUAUCAUCUUGACGUAACAUCAUGUGAAGUUCCUCGAUAAGUGCUACUUAAUUACAAUAAGGCUGAUUAAUAUGUACAAAUAAAAUAUGCUUAAGUUGUAUUAAACAAUAAUACAAUGUUGUACAAUUCAAUUAUAGACUCUGCAGAAAUGUUGUACUAUAGAUACAUUUUCAAGUACUUUUUCAAUCGUGUUAACCAACAGCCAUGCUGUAAUUUUAAACUAUUGCAUUUUAAUGUAUUGUUAUGCCAAAUAAAAUGAAGAAGGAAAUAAAGGCCAUUUGUACCUUCUCAA
rnacentral:lncRNA from 1 species